rnacentral:rRNA from 1 species
CCCAUAGAUGUUCUGGGCCGCACGCGUGCUACACUGAGUGGAUCAGCGGGUCAGGUUGCGCGAAAGUGUUUCCUAAUCUUGAAAUCCGCUCGUGAUGGGGAUUGACGGUUGCAAUUUUCCGUCAUGAACGAGGAAUACCUUGUAAGCGCGGGUCAUCGUCCCGCGCUGAAUACGUCCCUGCCCUUUGUACACACCGCCCGUCGCUCCUACCGAUUGAGUGGUCCGGUGAGGCUUUGGGAUCUGAGCGGAAAGAGCGUUUCGCUGUUUCUGCUCGGAAAACUCAGUCGAACCUUAUCAUUUAGAGGAAGGAGAAGUCGUAACA